rnacentral:rRNA from 1 species
UACGUAGGUGGCAAGCGUUGUCCGGAUUUACUGGGCGUAAAGAGCGCGCAGGCGGUCGUGCAAGUCGCGUGUGAAAGCCCCCGGCUCAACUGGGGAGGGUCACGCGAUACUGCUCGACUCGAAGGCAGGAGAGGGAAGUGGAAUUCCCGGUGUAGUGGUGAAAUGCGUAGAGAUCCGGAGGAACACCAGUGGCGAAAGCGGCCACCUGGACUGCACCUGACGCUGAAACGCGAAAGCUAGGGGAGCGAACGGG